rnacentral:tRNA from 1 species
GGCCCCUUCAUCUAAUGGUUAGGAUACCGCCCUUUCAAGGCGGCGAUACGGGUUCGAAUCCCGUAGGGGUCACCA